rnacentral:misc_RNA from 1 species
GAUGAAGAACGUAGCGAAAUGCGAUAAGUAAUGUGAAUUGCAGAAUUCAGUGAAUCAUCGAAUCUUUGAACGCACCUUGCACCCUUUGGCAUUCCGAAGGGUAUGCUCGUUUGAGUGUCAUUGUACUCUCACACUCUCCGAUCCUAUGGAUUCGGGGAGCGGUGGACUUGGGUGUUGCUGCCUUUCCUUGUGGCUCACCUCAAAUGUGUCAGUGCACCUCUUGGUUGGACAUAGUACGGCGUGAUAAGUGUCUUCGCCGGCACCUCGCAAGAGGAUGGCCGAUCGGGAGCUCUGUGCUUUCAAACCGUCUUCGGACAAUUUCUGACAACUUGACCUCAAAUCGAGUAGGACUACCCGCUGAACUUAAGCAUAUCAAUAAGCGGAGGA